rnacentral:rRNA from 1 species
UCCAAACUCUUUUCAGACUAGUAUUGAGUCAGCCUGGUUGCAGGGUUUCUUGGAAUCAGGUGAAGUUGGGCUUCAAUGUAGUUACUUUUUCCCGGUGCAAACCAAUGCAUGAUUUGGGUGGGAGGUCUUUUACCCUGAUGAAGGCAUCUUGAUGACUUUCACACUCGCAAUGGGUUUCAGUCCUAUCAACUUGAUGGUUGGGCCUUGGCCAACCAUGGUUAUAACGGGUGCAGAGGAUUAGGGUUUGAUCCUGGAGAGGUAGCCUGAGAAAUAGCUCCCACUUCCAUGGAAGGCAGCAGGCGCGCAACGUUCCCAAUGGUUUACCGACCGAGGACGUUAAGGAACAUAGCAAUACUUUGCCUUAAAACGCAAAGCAAUUGAAAUGGGGGCGAUAUAAAUCAUCCACCGAGUAACAAUUAGAGGACAAGUCUGGGUGCCAGCAAAA